rnacentral:rRNA from 1 species
UACGUAGGGCGCAAGCGUUAUCCGGAAUUAUUGGGCGUAAAGAGCUCGUAGGCGGUUUGUCGCGUCUGCCGUGAAAGUCCGGGGCUCAACUCCGGAUCUGCGGUGGGUACGGGCAGACUAGAGUGCAGUAGGGGAGACUGGAAUUCCUGGUGUAGCGGUGGAAUGCGCAGAUAUCAGGAGGAACACCGGUGGCGAAGGCGGCCAUCUGGACGGUAACUGACGCUGAGACGCGAAAGCGUGGGUAGCAAACAGG